ACAGCACCUGAGCUUGCCAUCUUUUCCUGAUCUAUCUCACUCAUUUGUCAUGUAGCUACUAGCUAAGCCACCAUAUCAUCCAUGGCUUCCGGUGCCUCCACCACGUUGAAGAUUGCCUCUAUCGCCGCUUGCAUCCUGCUGGUUCUGCUGUCCAAUGGCCACCCUACAGUGGCGACCGUUGAUUGUAUUGCGGCUUGCAAAGAGCCGUGCGAGAGCUUUUCUAAGGGAUUCUACGCGGGUGGAGCCACCAGCGGUUGUGCGACUAAGGCAGCAGCUACAGCAUGCCGCAAUUCGGUGUUCUCGUAGUGUGCGAACAACUGCUACACAGUUUGCACCGCCAGGACCAUCGCGCCUUGCGCUUGAAGAUGCAUUUGUGUUCCUACUUCCACGUUAUUGUUACUGGUGAGUGUGUGCAAGCAGGCCUGCCGUCCACGGGAGGAGGCACGCAAGCCCGCAUGAUAAGCCACUGUCGUUUUUCCACUUUAUCAUUUACUUAUUGAAGGCAAUGUACGUGCCUAGCUCCUGUGUCGUUGAGCAUGUCAUCUUGGAAUUUUGUCCAAAGUUUAACAUACCAUGUUGUAUUGUUGUGUAUGGGUAUCAAUAUAAUUUAUCAACUAUUUUUCGUUUACCAUAGACAUUUCUAUGUUUAUUUGCAAGGGUUAGGGAAAUUUGCCCUUGAUAGUGUAUUAACCGCAUCUGCCAACUGAACAGAUCAACUUUCUCAACAGCCUAUCUCCUACUUGAAAAAUAUUCGCUUUAGAAAUGGUUUAUUUCUUUUCUGUGUAGCUGUAGCACCCAUCACCGUGAGGGUUACAAAACUCGGCGCAAGGGUUCCAAGCGGUGGCGCCACAAACCACAUAAGCUGUGGCGCAAGGGUUCUAGCUGGCUGGUCACAAACAACUAUUUCAUCCCGGAUGUCUUCCAUGCCCAUGGACCUGCCGCUUUCUUGAUCGAGUAAUCUAUGCCCAUGAAAGAGUUCGGUAUUUGUCUGAUCGAUGAAGACGAGGUAGCACAUUUAUGUGAAAGCAGUACUGGCGGACAUGAUGGUCGGUGGCUAUUGAUUAUCUUCCAACUCCUUUAUGGCAUUAUCCAGAAAUCAUUUGUAGGGGUGAAGUGUUUUUCUUUUGAGGGCGGACCAAAAGGUCAGCUGUCCCCCAGGGGUGGAGCUACAGUCAACCAUCGAUGAUUUGGUGGCGAGCUCUUAUAUCCUUCCCAGGAGAACUGCCCAUAUGUUGCUACGGAUAAAAAUAAUGUAUAUAAUUACAAUAAUCGUGAUUAGUUUUUUUCAAAUGUGUGACAUAUUAUCGAAUUUACAUAUCUUUCUAUGCAUUUUCCGAACAAAGAGAUAUUUUUAUAAUAAUUUUAUCAGAUUAACAUGAGACAUAAUCUUCUAUGGUAUAUUAUGUACUCUAGUAUCUAAAUCUUUUGUUUGUUUGUGUAGUCUUCUACAUUGCUCGCUUUUUAUAAUAAAAGUCGAGAGAGGUGGGCACCUGUGAACAACAAAAACCAAAAAAUGUACACAAUAAUCAAUAUAUUAUAAUUAUUAUUUUUUCCUAGAAUAAAAAUAUGGACUCAUCGAGCCCAUGAAAAGCGCAAGGAGGUGGCCCGGCAGCCCCAUCCAUCCAUCCAUUGUUAUCCACACUUGCUAAACAACUGAAUUAAAAAUAUACUUUUAUCCACACAAGAGACGGAUGAAUUGUUUGGCACUGCACUUUCUUGGACGUUGCUGUUGCUGGAAUCGGCAUUAGGAAGGCGUCGCUCGGCCGUGCAGAGGUGCCAUUGUGGCUUCGUGGAGGUGCCCCUACGUUGUGCCGGAGCGGAGGUGCAGGCAGCGUAAGCGGCCGGGUAGCACGCCACAACAUGCUGGAGACAGCGCCGAACCUCGAGCGUUCGAUUGGGGCUGCUUAUAGCGCCAACACUGCUCUGUAUCUUGCUCAGUGGAUGGGCGGACGACAGUGAGCGGCGCCUAGGAGAACUGCAAAUGCUCCUGCACACAUGCCCCAUGGGCCGGAACUGCACACUAACCCCCGCGAACGAUGGUAGUAGGGCAACAAAGCUGGCCAUGGCGCUGCUCGUUGAGCUUUCCGUGUGCGCGAACAGGCAUUUGAUAUGUUCCCUACAAAAUUAAAGGUUGUUUGAUUCAACGGUCAAAUAGUGCGAGCAUGUUAAUUGAUGCGAGUGUAUUGUGGGAACUGCAAAAGAACUGCAGGGCAUCGAGGAAGCAGUGUUGUUGCUCGGAAGUACCAGCACUGACGCGCUUUCCGUUGUGUCUCCAGCGGGGGUGGCUGCGUCUGCCCGCUCGGCAGCAGUUUCACCCUAUUCUGGGCAUCUCCCCACGCGUCUUGGCCAUCGUUACCUCUGGCAUCGUUAAGGUAUGGCUUCCUUUCAGCCUCGGCCGUUUCUUUCUCCAAUGCGCGAGUGCCAGGGUGAGCUCUGGCAGCAUGCUGCCUCCCACGGCAAUCUUGCCCAGGGCAAUCAGGUUGUAGUGCCUUGCGGCGGCUUCAAGCGUGUCGAUCGGUAGCAGGCACUCCGAGCUCUCCUUGUGCAUUUGGGGCACCUUCGCUCACGCCACCACUGUGAGGCCUGCCAGGUGUGCCACUUCAUUGUUCACAUGGUUACAAAGGCGGUGGCGCGGAAGUGUGGUGGCACGGACGAGGAAGAAAAAAUGACAGACCACGAUGAACGCAUUAAUUUAGUGCUCCGGGCAGAUUAAGAAAAAGAUUAGGGACUUUUAUACAAAACAUGCUUGACGGUUGGAAAAAACAUAUGUCACUUUAGUAUUAGGCAAGGAUGUGAUUAUAUGAUUAUAUGGACUGAUACCGGUUAAAAGAUCAUUAUCUAAUCAACCAUUCACGUCGCCCAUAGUGUAGGAAACAGGCCAUUCUAUUGCAAUCCUCUGUCGCCUAUCGCUUCCCUUGAGAAUUUGAAGUCAGAAAUUCUUUUGUUUCAAUUUUGCUAGGUCCACUAGUUUUCUUAAAUCAGAAUCAAGUUGAAACCAGAAGAGCCUUGUUAGCUUGUUUGAUCUAUACUUCUUUGUAGCAAAUGUAAAAUGACAACUCAUCUAAUGGUUGUUUCAUAUUCGAUCUGCAAGUCUUCUUCUCAUUCACACGAUGGAUGGCCAUAGGCACAAAGAGAAUCGAAGUAGUAGACGAUAAUCACUAUAGUAAAAGCUUAAAAUCUCAAAAUAUGUCAUCAUUUAUUUUUCAUUAUGUUAUCCAUAGAACUAUAGUAUGAGUUAGAAUAUUGCAUGGACAUCAGCUACAACAUUUCCUAGCUUCGCCUUCUCCGCCCCUGCAGCAGCUAGCCCAAUCCAGGAAAUGUAUUUCCCAUGUGGGGGUGAGCAGACCCUGGAAAUAAGCUGGGGGACGGACGACCAGCACGUCAACCGUCUCUGAAAAUAGCCAUCUAUAGGAGCCCAUUUCAGAGGUGGGCAACUCCAUGGUCCGUCCUAGCAGAUUGAAUUACAGGAGCAGAUGACGCGAAGCAUCACCCUGCUGCUCAACGAAAUUUUGUAAGGACAACGCGCGAAUGAAAAGGCAAGCGAAAAGCAUAAGGUCCAUUCUGCUCCGCACAUAUAUCUUAUCUCAACCACAGCUUUCCAUGUCAUCUCCUUAGAGAAACUCCGACAGAUUGAUUUUCCACAUUCCCCUUUAUCCUCUUAUAGGGCAUUCCCUUUCACGAUUUCUGAAUUUUGAAGACUAGUGGGGCAAGAAAUUUUGUAUAGUAACAAAGAUAAUCUCAGCCCCACUUGCUACACAUACAUGCACGGUAAAUAGAAAGGGUUAUUUUCUAUGUCAAAGGCAUGCUCAGCUUCAAAGUCGUUCUGUUGUUAGCAUCGUUGUGUUGUUUCUGAUAACGUGCAGGAGGAAGCGAAAACACAGAGUAGAAAGAGGAUGAGAAAUUAAAGAAGACAAUGAAGCUCACGUUCACGUCUACAUGAGGGAGCUCUCACACAAGCAAGUCCAUUCAUCCUCUGUCUCCAUGCUGUUGAUGAUGACAUGUCACAUGUCCUUUGCCUUGACGUCGGCGGCAGGCCGGCAGCCCAAUGAACCCAUGACGAACAGCAUGAGCAUGACCAGCUAACUUCAUUGCUGAGUACGACAUGUGGUUAUCCUUGCUAUAACUAAUGUUGGUCAGAAGAAGAAGCUGCUAUAAAGUUGUUCUGAAGACGCUGAGUUGUAGGCGUACGCAAGCCCCGGUUGAUUGCCUGCGAAGUUUGGAGCUUUCGAUUCCAGGAUGGAGAUGUAAAUCUGUGAUAGACUCUCUUUAUAUCUCUUUAUGUGAUACUGUUACUGUUAUUCACUGAUGAUGUGACUAUAUGUAUGAAACUUGAUCAUGUCAUACAUACAGUUAGCACUUGGUUUUGCUGUUCUAAAAUCAGGUGUGACACCUAUGAACCCAUGACGAACAGCAUGAGCGUAACCAGCUAACUUCAUUGCUGCUGCCUUUCGUAGAUGUUGGUGAACAUGACGUGUCUUUCAUCUCCACGAUGGCGACGGAUCCAAAGAUCGAAGAACAUGCAUCAACGCGAUCCGUAUGGCGUGUUUUCUGGUAUUUCCACCCCAUGAUGUAACGCCGACCGGGUUCCAUACGAGGCCUACGGCCACUCUGUUCACUUUCAUCAUGUGCUCCGAUGAGAGUUCAUCACCGUGAUAAAAGACGGAGACGAGGGCACACAGUCGUAGCUGCAAGUAAGGCCAACAGGCUCAAGGCCAUCGCUUUACAGCCAGCAGUCUUGCCUUGCAUGCACUCACGGACUAUUACCGGACUAGCAAUUGGUACUUUGACGCACUACAUGGACCCUUACAAAAUUAAAAAAAUGAACGUCAACAAGCAAAUGAAACUGCAUGAACUGAAGUAGGGAAAUGAAGACCACGUACAGUUCUUAUUGAAGCUGAAAUGUAUGUCAUAAAAGUAUUAUUGUUAGAUUGAAGUCAAUUUAAAUAUUUAAACGAGUAACGAGGGCUCGGAUUAGUAGAAGGUGUUAGUGAGGCCCUCCAAUAGACCACUCAAUGAUUUUUAGAUCCAACUGUUUAUAUAGUAAGUUCGGAUAUUUAAUUAAUAAAUUGAAGUUGCCUUAAGAUAUGCAUAGUAAAUCACAAGACCAAAGUGGAAUAACCAUUAGACAACUAAUAAAACCAUCAUUAAGUUUUUGUCUAAUUUUAGCAAUAUUGCUUAGGUUUUCUAUUUCGUCUAAAUAUAUCUUAAGCGGCUCAUAUGUCCGAAUUACCCACACAGUGAAUAAAUGUCGUUCCAGUUCAAGGAUUCAUGUGCAGUUGUCACACACUAGUGUGAACCCAUCAAGUGUGUGUCUUGCUUCCCUUUUCAAUCAACAAGCUACCUCCCUGAUUUGAAUAUAAUAAACUUAAAUGCUUCAGUUUCUAUGGUCCAUUGUUAUGUGAUGGACAUGAAAAAUGAAAAAUAUAGCCUACAAUGUUCAAAAUGCAUCUGAAGUACUAGGGUAUAAAAUAAGCUCACUGCCAUCCAAGUACAAGGGUUAACAACUAGAAAUAUAACCUUUAUUGCUAUCUGUAAACAAAAUAUGCCUGUUGAAUUACAUGUCGGGAAAGGUGAAUGCACGGAUUCACGGCUAGUAUUAGCUAAUUUUGUUGUCUUUUUUUGUUAAUAACUAGGUUUCCAAUGCCAAACUCUGCGUAAGGGUUCAGCAACUGGCUACAUAUUGGAAAGGAGUUACUGUUGGUGGCUAGCCCUCAUAAGAGAUAACUAUUUCAUCCCUGAUGCCUUCCAUGCCUAUGGAUGUACCGCGUGCUCGAGUAAGUUAUGCUUGCAGAUGGAUCUUAAACCUGAUGUCAAAUUGUGGAUAAUUGAAAGAGUUUGCUGUUUGUCUGCUUUAGGGAAGAUGGGUAGCACGUUUAUAUGCCAUUAAUUCUCAUGAAAGAGUGCAUAUACCAUGUUUGUCGCAGCAAGAUGAGGCUGUAGAGUAGUAGACGUGUAGAACAAUGGUACAGGUUGUAUGAAUAAUUUAUUGAAGGGAAUCAUAGACGCCACAGCCACUGAAGCUGUUGGGGCAUGAUUAGCCAAUGGUCUAAUUCCUGAUAUCUCCGUAUCCUAAUUUUCUGAAGCCUUACGGACUCUACCCUCCUCACUUCAUAUAUAUUAGUGUUUAUAAUAGCGGUUUUAUAAGAAGUGCUGAAGGUAUUGGUCCUGCUAUAUCUUGCUUCCACUACCGGAUUUGUGUACGAAAUAUUAAUUCUUGAGAUUUGUCAAUGAUUUUAGGACGCAAUGAUACCUUCAACUACCGGAUUGUAUAUAUAAGUUAGUCUUAGCCAGUUAUAUAUCAGAGGAGGAAGCACGCAUUAAAUAAUAAAUAACUCAUGUUGAUUCAAUUGGCAACCUGGCCUCUAAAAAGAAAAGGACUCUGUUCUCAAAAAAUGAAAAAAAGUAGCCUGCUAAUAACAAUGUCGACACUUUACAUCUGAGCAGCUAGCUCCGUGAUGCUUUAUCUGGCUAGUGAACUACCUACCUAUGUUAUUUAAACAUUUUUGCUGCCUAUAAAUUGGGCAUCAUUUCAGCGGACCACCACAGCACCUGAGCUUGCCAUCUUUUCCUGUUCUAUCUCACUCAUUUGUCCUGUAGCUACUAGCUAAGCCACCAUAUCAUCCAUGGCUUCCGGUGCCUCCACCACGUUGAAGAUUGCCUCUAUCGCCGCUUGCAUCCUGCUGGUUCUGCUGUCCAAUGGCCACCCUACAGUGGCGACCGUUGAUUGUACUGCGGCUUGCAAAGAGCCGUGCGAGAGCUUUUCUAAGGGAUUCUGCGCGGGUGGAGCCACCAGCGGUUGUGCGACUAAGGCAGCAGCUACAGCAUGCCGCAAUUCGGCGUUCUCGCAGUGUGCGAACAACUGCUACACAGUUUGCACCGCCGGGACCAUCGCGCCUUGCGCUUGAAGAUGCAUUUGUGUUCCUACUUCCACAUUAUUGUUACUGGUGAGUGUGUGCAAGCAGGCCUGCCGUCCAUGGGAGGAGGCACGCAAGCACGCAUGAUAAGCCACUGUCGUUUUUCCACUUUAUCAUUUACAUAUUUAAGGCAAUGUACGUGCCUAGCUCCUGUGUGGUUGAGCAUGUCAUCUUGGAAUUUUGUCCAAAGUUUAACAUACCAUGUUGUAUUGUUGUGUAUGGGUAUCAAUAUAAUUUAUCAACUAUUUUUCGUUUACCAUAGACAUUUCUAUGUUUAUUUGCAAGGGUUAGGGAAAUUUGUCCUUGAUAGUGUACUAACCGCGUCUGCCAACUGAACAGAUCAACUUUCUCAACAGCCUAUCUCCUACUUGAAAAAAUAUUCGCUUUAGAAAUGGUUUGUUUCUUUUCUGUGUAGCUCUAUCACCCAUCACCGUGAGGGUUACAAAACUCGGCGCAAGGGUUCCAAGCUGUGGCGCCACAAACCACAUAAGCUGUGGCGCAAGGGUUCUAGCUGGCUAGUCACAAACAACUAUUUCAUCCCGGAUGUCUUCCAUGCCCAUGGAGCUGCCGCUUUCUUGAUCGAGUAAUCUAUGCCCAUGAAAGAGUUCGGUAUUUGUCUGAUCGAGGAAGACGAGGUAGCACAUUUAUGUGAAAGCAGUACUGGCGGACAUGAUGGUCGGUGGCCUAUUGAUUAUCUUCCAACUCCUUUAUGCCAUUAUCAGUACUACAGAAAUCAUUUGUAGGGGUGAAAUGUUUUUUUUUUAGGGUGGACCAAAAGGUCUGCCACCCCCAGGGGCGGAGCUACAGUCAACCAUCGAUGAUUUGGUCGCGAGCUCUUAUAUCCUUCCCAGGAGAACUGCCCAUACGUUGCUACGGAUAAAAAUAAUGUAUAUAAUUACAUUAAUCAUGAUUCGUUAUUUCAAAUGUGUGACAUAUUAUUGAAUUUACGUAUCUUUCUAUGCAUUUUUCGAACAAAGAGAUAUUUUUAUAAUAAUUUUAUCAGAUUAACAUGAGACAUAAUCUUCUAUGGUAUAUUAUGUACUCUAGUAUGUAAAUCUUAUGUUUGUUUGUGUAGUCUUCUACGUUGCUCGCUUUUUAUAAUAAAAGUAGAGAGAGGUGUGCGCCUAUGAACAACAAAAACCCAAAAAUGUACACAAUAAUCAAUAAAUUAUAAUUAUUAUUUUUUCCUAGAAUAAAAAUAUGGACUCAUCGAGCCCAUGAAAAGCGCAAGGAGGUGGCCCGGCAGCCCCAUCCAUCCAUCCAUUGUUAUCCAUACUUGCUAAACAAAUGAAUUAAAAACAUAAUUUUAUCCACACAAGAGACGGAUUAAUUGUUUGGUACUGAACUUUCUUGGACGUUGCUGUUGCUGGAUUCGGCAUUAGGAAGGCGUCGCUCGGCCGUGCAGACGUGCCAUUGUGGCUUUGUGGAGGCACCCCUACGUUGUGUCGGAGCGGAGCUGCAGGCAGCGUAAGCGGCCGGGUAGCACGCCACAACAUGCUAGAGACAGCGCCGAGCCUUGAGCCUUCGACUGGGGCUGCUUAUAGCGCCAACACCGCUCUGUAUCUUGCUCAGUGGAUGGGCGGACGACGGCGAGCGGCGCCUAGGAGAACUGCAAAUGCUCCUGCACACAUGCCCCAUGGGCCGGAACUGCACACUAACCCCCGCGAACGAUGGUAGUAGGGCAACAAAGCUGGCCAUGGCGCUACUCGUUGAGCUUUCCGUGUGCGCGAACAGGCAUUUGAUAUGUUCCCUACAAAAUUAAAGGUUGUUUGAUUCAAUGGUCAAAUAGUGCGAGCAUGUUAAUUGAUGCGAGUGUAUUGUGGGAACUGCCAAGGAACUGCAGGGCAUCGAGCAAGCAGUGGUGUUGCUCGGAAGUACCAGCACUAACACGCUUUCCGAUGUGUCUCCAGCGGGGGUGGCAGCGUCUACCUGCUCGGCAGCAGUAGUGUCACCCUAUUCUGGGCAUCUCCCCACGCGUCUUGGCCAUCGUUACCUCUGGCAUCGUUAAGGUAUGGCUUCCUUUCAGCCUCGGCCGUUUCUUUGUCCAGUGACCGGUUAAAAGAUCAUUAUCUAAUCAACCAUUCACGUCACCCAUAGUGUAGGCAACAGGCCAUUCUAUUGCGAUCCGCUGUCGCCUAUCGCUUCCCUUCAGAAUUUGAAGUCAGAAAUUCUUUUGUUUCAAUUUUGCUACCUCCACUAGUUUUCUUAAAUCAGAAUCAUGUUGAAACCAGAAGAGCCUUGUUAGCUUGUUUGAUCUAUACUUCGUUGUAGCAAAUGUAAAAUGACAACUGGUUGUUUCAUAUUCGAUCUGCAAGUCUUCUUCUCAUUCACACGAUGGAUGGCCAUAGGCACAAAGAGAAUUGAAGUAGUAGACCAUAAUCACUAUAGUAAAAGCUUAAAAUCUCAAAAUAUGUCAUCAUUUAUUUUUCAUUAUGUUAUCCAUAGAACUAUAGUAUGAGUUAGAAUAUUGCAUGGACAUCAGAUCAGCUACAACAUUUCCUAGCUUCGCCCUUCGCCACCCCUGCAGCAGCUAGCCCAAUCCAGGAAAUGUAUUUCCCAGGUGGGGGUGAGCAGACCCUGGAAAUAAGCUGGGGACGGACCAGCACGUCAACCGUCUCUGAAAAUAGCCCAUUUCAGAGGUGGGCAACUCCAUGGUCCGUCCUAGCAGAUUGAAUUACAGCAGCAGACGACACGAAGCAUCACCCUGCUGCUCAACGAAAUUUUGUAUGGACAACGCGCAAAUGAAAAGGCAAGUGGAAAGCAUAAGGUCCAUUCUGCUCCGCACAUAUAUCUUAUCUCAACCACAGCUUUCCAUGUCAUCUCCUUAGAGAAACUCCGACAGAUUGAUUUUCCACAUUCCCCUUUAUCCUCUUAUAGGGCAUUCCCUUUCACGAUUUCUGAAUUUUGAAGACUAGUGGGGCAAGAAAUUUUGUAUAGUAACAAAGAUAAUCUCAGCCCCACUUGCUACACAUACAUGCACGGUAAAUAGAAAGGGUUAUUUUCUAUGUCAAAGGCAUGCUCAGCUUCAAAGUCGUUCUGUUGUUAGCAUCGUUGUGUUGUUUCUGAUAACGUGCAGGAGGAAGCGAAAACACAGAGUAGAAAGAGGAUGAGAAAUUAAAGAAGACAAUGAAGCUCACGUUCACGUCUACAUGAGGGAGCUCUCACACAAGCAAGUCCAUUCAUCCUCUGUCUCCAUGCUGUUGAUGAUGACAUGUCACAUGUCCUUUGCCUUGACGUCGGCGGCAGGCCGGCAGCCCAAUGAACCCAUGACGAACAGCAUGAGCAUGACCAGCUAACUUCAUUGCUGAGUACAACAUGUGGUUAUCCUUGCUAUAACUAAUGUUGGUCAGAAGAAGAAGCUGCUAUAAAGUUGUUCUGAAGACGCUGAGUUCUAGGCGUACGCAAGCCCCGGUUGAUUGCCUGCGAAGUUUGGAACCUUCGUUUCCAGGAUUAAGCUGUAAAUCUCCGAUAGACUCUCUUUAUAUCUCUUUAUGUGAUACUGUUACUGUUAUUCACUGAUGAUGUGACUAUAUGUAUGAAACUUGAUCAUGUCAUACAUACAGUUAGCACUUGGUUUUGCUGUUCUAAAAUCAGAUGUGACACCUAUGAACCCAUGACGAACAGCAUGAGCGUAACCAGCUAACUUCAUUGCUGCUGCCUUUCGUAGAUGUUGGUGAACAUGACGUGUCUUUCAUCUCCACGAUGGCGACGGAUCCAAAGAUCGAAGAACAUGCAUCAACGCGAUCCGUAUGGCGUGUUUUCUGGUAUUUCCACCCCAUGAUGUAACGCCGACCGGGUUCCAUACGAGGCCUACGGCCACUCUGUUCACUUUCAUCAUGUGCUCCGAUGAGAGUUCAUCACCGUGAUAAAAGACGGAGACGAGGGCACACAGUCGUAGCUGCAAGUAAGGCCAACAGGCUCAAGGCCAUGGCUUUACAGCCAGCAGUCUUGCCUUGCAUGCACUCACGGACUAUUACCGGACUAGCAAUUGGUACUUUGACGCACUACAUGGACCCUUACAAAAUUAAAAAAAUGAACGUCAACAAGCAAAUGAAACUGCGUGAACUGAAGUAGGGAAAUGAAGACCACGUACAGUUCUUAUUGAAGCUGAAAUGUAUGUCAUAAAAGUAUUAUUGUUAGAUUGAAGUCAAUUUAAAUAUUUAAACGAGUAACGAGGGCUCGGAUUAGUAGAAGGUGUUAGUGAGGCCCUCCAACAGACCACUCAAUGAUUUUUAGAUCCAACUGUUUAUAUAGUAAGUUCGGAUAUUUAAUUAAUAAAUUGAAGUUGCCUUAAGAUAUGCAUAGUAAAUCACAAGACCAAAGUGGAAUAACCAUUAGACAACUAAUAAAACCAUAAUUAAGUUUUUCUCUACUUAAUUUUAGCAAUAUUGCUUAGGUUUUCUAUUUCGUCUAAAAAUAUCUUAAGCGGCUCAUAUGUCCGAAUUACCCACACAGUGAAUAAAUGUCAUUCCAGUUCAAGGAUUCAUGUGCAGUUAUCACACACUAGUGUGAACCCAUCAAGUGUGUGUCUUGCUUCCCUUUUCAAUCAACAAGCUACCUCCCUGAUUUGAAUAUAAUAAACUUAAAUGCUUCAGUUUCUAUGGUCCAUUGUUAUGUGAUGGACAUGAAAAAUGAAAAAUAUAGCCUACAAUGUUCAAAAUGCAUCUGAAAUACUAGGGUAUAAAAUAAGCUCACUGCCAUCCAAGUACAAGGGUUAACAACUAGAAAUAUAACCUUUAUUGCUAUCUGUAAAGAAAAUAUGCCUGUUGAAUUACAUGUCAGGAAAGGUGAAUGCACGGAUUGACGGCUAGUAUUAGCUAAUUUUGUUGUCUUUUUUGUUAAUAACUAGGUUUCCAAUGCCAAACUCUGCGUAAGGGUUCAGCAACUGGCUACAUAUUGGAAAGGAAUUACUGUUGGUGGCUAGCCCUCAUAAGAGAUAACUAUUUCAUCCCUGAUGCCUUCCAUGCCUAUGGAUGUACCGCGUGCUCGAGUAAGCUAUGCUUGCAGAUGGAUCUUAAACCUGAUGUCAAAUUGUGGAUAAUUGAAAGAGUUUGCUGUUUGUCUGCUUUAGGGAAGAUGGGUAGCACGUUUAUAUGCCAUUAAUUCUCAUGAAAGAGUGCAUAUACCAUGUUUGUCGCAGCAAGAUGAGGCUGUAGAGUAGUAGACGUGUAGAACAAUGGUACAGGUUGUAUGAAUAAUUUAUUGAAGGGAAUCAUAGACGCCACAGCCACUGAAGCUGUUGGGGCAUGAUUAGCCAAUGGUCUAAUUCCUGAUAUCUCCGUAUCCUAAUUUUCUGAAGCCUUACGGACUCUACCCUCCUCACUUCAUAUAUAUUAGUGUUUAUAAUAGCGGUUUUAUAAGAAGUGCUGAAGGUAUUGGUCCUGCUAUAUCUUGCUUCCACUACCGGAUUUGUGUACGAAAUAUUAAUUCUUGAGAUUUGUCAAUGAUUUAAGGACGCAAUGAUACCUUCAACUACCGGAUUGUAUAUAUAAGUUAGUCUUAGCCAGUUAUAUAUCAGAGGAGGAAGCACGCAUUAAAUAAUAAAUAACUCAUGUUGAUUCAAUUGGCAACCUGGCCUCUAAAAAGAAAAGGACUCUGUUCUCAAAAAAUGAAAAAAAGUAGCCUGCUAAUAACAAUGUCGACACUUUACAUCUGAGCAGCUAGCUCCGUGAUGCUUUAUCUGGCUAGUGAACUACCUACCUAUGUUAUUUAAACAUUUUUGCUGCCUAUAAAUUGGGCAUCAUUUCAGCGGACCACCACAGCACCUGAGCUUGCCAUCUUUUCCUGUUCUAUCUCACUCAUUUGUCCUGUAGCUACUAGCUAAGCUACCAUAUCAUCCAUGGCUUCCGGUGCCUCCACCACGUUGAAGAUUGCCUCUAUCGCCGCUUGCAUCCUGCUGGUUCUGCUGUCCAAUGGCCACCCUACAGUGGCGACCGUUGAUUGUACUGCGGCUUGCAAAGAGCCGUGCGAGAGCUUUUCUAAGGGAUUCUGCGCGGGUGGAGCCACCAGCGGUUGUGCGACUAAGGCAGCAGCUACAGCAUGCCGCAAUUCGGCGUUCUCGCAGUGUGCGAACAACUGCUACACAGUUUGCACCGCCGGGACCAUCGCGUCUUGCGCUUGAAGAUGCAUUUGUGUUCCUACUUCCACAUUAUUGUUACUGGUGAGUGUGUGCAAGCAGGCCUGCUGUCCACGGGAGGAGGCACGCAAGCACGCAUGAUAAGACACUGUCGUUUUUCCACUUUAUCAUUUACAUAUUUAAGGCAAUGUACGUGCCUAGCUCCUGUGUGGUUGAGCAUGUCAUCUUGGAAUUUUGUCCAAAGUUUAACAUACCAUGUUGUAUUGUUGUGUAUGGGUAUCAAUAUAAUUUAUCAACUAUUUUUCGUUUACCAUAGACAUUUCUAUGUUUAUUUGCAAGGGUUAGGGAAAUUUGUCCUUGAUAGUGUACUAACCGCGUCUGCCAACUGAACAGAUCAACUUUCUCAACAGCCUAUCUCCUACUUGAAAAAAUAUUCGCUUUAGAAAUGGUUUGUUUCUUUUCUGUGUAGCUCUAUCACCCAUCACCGUGAGGGUUACAAAACUCGGCGCAAGGGUUCCAAGCUGUGGCGCCACAAACCACAUAAGCUGUGGCGCAAGGGUUCUAGCUGGCUAGUCACAAACAACUAUUUCAUCCCGGAUGUCUUCCAUGCCCAUGGAGCUGCCGCUUUCUUGAUCGAGUAAUCUAUGCCCAUGAAAGAGUUCGGUAUUUGUCUGAUCGAGGAAGACGAGGUAGCACAUUUAUGUGAAAGCAGUACUGGCGGACAUGAUGGUCGGUGGCCUAUUGAUUAUCUUCCAACUCCUUUAUGCCAUUAUCAGUACUACAGAAAUCAUUUGUAGGGGUGAAGUGUUUUUUUUUAGGGUGGACCAAAAGGUCUGCCACCCCCAGGGGCGGAGCUACAGUCAACCAUCGAUGAUUUGGUCGCGAGCUCUUAUAUCCUUCCCAGGAGAACUGCCCAUACGUUGCUACGGAUAAAAAUAAUGUAUAUAAUUACAUUAAUCAUGAUUCGUUAUUUCAAAUGUGUGACAUAUUAUUGAAUUUACGUAUCUUUCUAUGCAUUUUUCGAACAAAGAGAUAUUUUUAUAAUAAUUUUAUCAGAUUAACAUGAGACAUAAUCUUCUAUGGUAUAUUAUGUACUCUAGUAUGUAAAUCUUAUGUUUGUUUGUGUAGUCUUCUACGUUGCUCGCUUUUUAUAAUAAAAGUAGAGAGAGGUGUGCGCCUAUGAACAACAAAAACCCAAAAAUGUACACAAUAAUCAAUAAAUUAUAAUUAUUAUUUUUUCCUAGAAUAAAAAUAUGGACUCAUCGAGCCCAUGAAAAGCGCAAGGAGGUGGCCCGGCAGCCCCAUCCAUCCAUCCAUUGUUAUCCAUACUUGCUAAACAAAUGAAUUAAAAACAUAAUUUUAUCCACACAAGAGACGGAUUAAUUGUUUGGUACUGAACUUUCUUGGACGUUGCUGUUGCUGGAUUCGGCAUUAGGAAGGCGUCGCUCGGCCGUGCAGACGUGCCAUUGUGGCUUUGUGGAGGCACCCCUACGUUGUGUCGGAGCGGAGCUGCAGGCAGCGUAAGGGGCCGGGUAGCACGCCACAACAUGCUAGAGACAGCGCCGAGCCUUGAGCCUUCGACUGGGGCUGCUUAUAGCGCCAACACCGCUCUGUAUCUUGCUCAGUGGAUGGGCGGACGACGGCGAGCGGCGCCUAGGAGAACUGCAAAUGCUCCUGCACACAUGCCCCAUGGGCCGGAACUGCACACUAACCCCCGCGAACGAUGGUAGUAGGGCAACAAAGCUGGCCAUGGCGCUACUCGUUGAGCUUUCCGUGUGCGCGAACAGGCAUUUGAUAUGUUCCCUACAAAAUUAAAGGUUGUUUGAUUCAAUGGUCAAAUAGUGCGAGCAUGUUAAUUGAUGCGAGUGUAUUGUGGGAACUGCCAAGGAACUGCAGGGCAUCGAGCAAGCAGUGGUGUUGCUCGGAAGUACCAGCACUAACACGCUUUCCGAUGUGUCUCCAGCGGGGGUGGCAGCGUCUACCUGCUCGGCAGCAGUAGUGUCACCCUAUUCUGGGCAUCUCCCCACGCGUCUUGGCCAUCGUUACCUCUGGCAUCGUUAAGGUAUGGCUUCCUUUCAGCCUCGGCCGUUUCUUUGUCCAGUGACCGGUUAAAAGAUCAUUAUCUAAUCAACCAUUCACGUCACCCAUAGUGUAGGCAACAGGCCAUUCUAUUGCGAUCCGCUGUCGCCUAUCGCUUCCCUUCAGAAUUUGAAGUCAGAAAUUCUUUUGUUUCAAUUUUGCUACCUCCACUAGUUUUCUUAAAUCAGAAUCAUGUUGAAACCAGAAGAGCCUUGUUAGCUUGUUUGAUCUAUACUUCGUUGUAGCAAAUGUAAAAUGACAACUGGUUGUUUCAUAUUCGAUCUGCAAGUCUUCUUCUCAUUCACACGAUGGAUGGCCAUAGGCACAAAGAGAAUUGAAGUAGUAGACCAUAAUCACUAUAGUAAAAGCUUAAAAUCUCAAAAUAUGUCAUCAUUUAUUUUUCAUUAUGUUAUCCAUAGAACUAUAGUAUGAGUUAGAAUAUUGCAUGGACAUCAGAUCAGCUACAACAUUUCCUAGCUUCGCCCUUCGCCACCCCUGCAGCAGCUAGCCCAAUCCAGGAAAUGUAUUUCCCAGGUGGGGGUGAGCAGACCCUGGAAAUAAGCUGGGGACGGACCAGCACGUCAACCGUCUCUGAAAAUAGCCCAUUUCAGAGGUGGGCAACUCCAUGGUCCGUCCUAGCAGAUUGAAUUACAGCAGCAGACGACACGAAGCAUCACCCUGCUGCUCAACGAAAUUUUGUAUGGACAACGCGCAAAUGAAAAGGCAAGCGGAAAGCAUAAGGUCCAUUCUGCUCCGCACAUAUAUCUUAUCUCAACCACAGCUUUCCAUGUCAUCUCCUUAGAGAAACUCCGACAGAUUGAUUUUCCACAUUCCCCUUUAUCCUCUUAUAGGGCAUUCCCUUUCACGAUUUCUGAAUUUUGAAGACUAGUGGGGCAAGAAAUUUUGUAUAGUAACAAAGAUAAUCUCAGCCCCACUUGCUACACAUACAUGCACGGUAAAUAGAAAGGGUUAUUUUCUAUGUCAAAGGCAUGCUCAGCUUCAAAGUCGUUCUGUUGUUAGCAUCGUUGUGUUGUUUCUGAUAACGUGCAGGAGGAAGCGAAAACACAGAGUAGAAAGAGGAUGAGAAAUUAAAGAAGACAAUGAAGCUCACGUUCACGUCUACAUGAGGGAGCUCUCACACAAGCAAGUCCAUUCAUCCUCUGUCUCCAUGCUGUUGAUGAUGACAUGUCACAUGUCCUUUGCCUUGACGUCGGCGGCAGGCCGGCAGCCCAAUGAACCCAUGACGAACAGCAUGAGCAUGACCAGCUAACUUCAUUGCUGAGUACAACAUGUGGUUAUCCUUGCUAUAACUAAUGUUGGUCAGAAGAAGAAGCUGCUAUAAAGUUGUUCUGAAGACGCUGAGUUCUAGGCGUACGCAAGCCCCGGUUGAUUGCCUGCGAAGUUUGGAACCUUCGUUUCCAGGAUUAAGCUGUAAAUCUCCGAUAGACUCUCUUUAUAUCUCUUUAUGUGAUACUGUUACUGUUAUUCACUGAUGAUGUGACUAUAUGUAUGAAACUUGAUCAUGUCAUACAUACAGUUAGCACUUGGUUUUGCUGUUCUAAAAUCAGAUGUGACACCUAUGAACCCAUGACGAACAGCAUGAGCGUAACCAGCUAACUUCAUUGCUGCUGCCUUUCGUAGAUGUUGGUGAACAUGACGUGUCUUUCAUCUCCACGAUGGCGACGGAUCCAAAGAUCGAAGAACAUGCAUCAACGCGAUCCGUAUGGCGUGUUUUCUGGUAUUUCCACCCCAUGAUGUAACGCCGACCGGGUUCCAUACGAGGCCUACGGCCACUCUGUUCACUUUCAUCAUGUGCUCCGAUGAGAGUUCAUCACCGUGAUAAAAGACGGAGACGAGGGCACACAGUCGUAGCUGCAAGUAAGGCCAACAGGCUCAAGGCCAUGGCUUUACAGCCAGCAGUCUUGCCUUGCAUGCACUCACGUACUAUUACCGGACUAGCAAUUGGUACUUUGACGCACUACAUGGACCCUUACAAAAUUAAAAAAAUGAACGUCAACAAGCAAAUGAAACUGCAUGAACUGAAGUAGGGAAAUGAAGACCACGUACAGUUCUUAUUGAAGCUGAAAUGUAUGUCAUAAAAGUAUUAUUGUUAGAUUGAAGUCAAUUUAAAUAUUUAAACGAGUAACGAGGGCUCGGAUUAGUAGAAGGUGUUAGUGAGGCCCUCCAACAGACCACUCAAUGAUUUUUAGAUCCAACUGUUUAUAUAGUAAGUUCGGAUAUUUAAUUAAUAAAUUGAAGUUGCCUUAAGAUAUGCAUAGUAAAUCACAAGACCAAAGUGGAAUAACCAUUAGACAACUAAUAAAACCAUAAUUAAGUUUUUCUCUACUUAAUUUUAGCAAUAUUGCUUAGGUUUUCUAUUUCGUCUAAAAAUAUCUUAAGCGGCUCAUAUGUCCGAAUUACCCACACAGUGAAUAAAUGUCAUUCCAGUUCAAGGAUUCAUGUGCAGUUAUCACACACUAGUGUGAACCCAUCAAGUGUGUGUCUUGCUUCCCUUUUCAAUCAACAAGCUACCUCCCUGAUUUGAAUAUAAUAAACUUAAAUGCUUCAGUUUCUAUGGUCCAUUGUUAUGUGAUGGACAUGAAAAAUGAAAAAUAUAGCCUACAAUGUUCAAAAUGCAUCUGAAGUACUAGGGUAUAAAAUAAGCUCACUGCCAUCCAAGUACAAGGGUUAACAACUAGAAAUAUAACCUUUAUUGCUAUCUGUAAAGAAAAUAUGCCUGUUGAAUUACAUGUCAGGAAAGGUGAAUGCACGGAUUGACGGCUAGUAUUAGCUAAUUUUGUUGUCUUUUUUGUUAAUAACUAGGUUUCCAAUGCCAAACUCUGCGUAAGGGUUCAGCAACUGGCUACAUAUUGGAAAGGAGUUACUGUUGGUGGCUAGCCCUCAUAAGAGAUAACUAUUUCAUCCCUGAUGCCUUCCAUGCCUAUGGAUGUACCGCGUGCUCGAGUAAGCUAUGCUUGCAGAUGGAUCUUAAACCUGAUGUCAAAUUGUGGAUAAUUGAAAGAGUUUGCUGUUUGUCUGCUUUAGGGAAGAUGGGUAGCACGUUUAUAUGCCAUUAAUUCUCAUGAAAGAGUGCAUAUACCAUGUUUGUCGCAGCAAGAUGAGGCUGUAGAGUAGUAGACGUGUAGAACAAUGGUACAGGUUGUAUGAAUAAUUUAUUGAAGGGAAUCAUAGACGCCACAGCCACUGAAGCUGUUGGGGCAUGAUUAGCCAAUGGUCUAAUUCCUGAUAUCUCCGUAUCCUAAUUUUCUGAAGCCUUACGGACUCUACCCUCCUCACUUCAUAUAUAUUAGUGUUUAUAAUAGCGGUUUUAUAAGAAGUGCUGAAGGUAUUGGUCCUGCUAUAUCUUGCUUCCACUACCGGAUUUGUGUACGAAAUAUUAAUUCUUGAGAUUUGUCAAUGAUUUUAGGACGCAAUGAUACCUUCAACUACCGGAUUGUAUAUAUAAGUUAGUCUUAGCCAGUUAUAUAUCAGAGGAGGAAGCACGCAUUAAAUAAUAAAUAACUCAUGUUGAUUCAAUUGGCAACCUGGCCUCUAAAAAGAAAAGGACUCUGUUCUCAAAAAAUGAAAAAAAGUAGCCUGCUAAUAACAAUGUCGACACUUUACAUCUGAGCAGCUAGCUCCGUGAUGCUUUAUCUGGCUAGUGAACUACCUACCUAUGUUAUUUAAACAUUUUUGCUGCCUAUAAAUUGGGCAUCAUUUCAGCGGACCACCACAGCACCUGAGCUUGCCAUCUUUUCCUGUUCUAUCUCACUCAUUUGUCCUGUAGCUACUAGCUAAGCCACCAUAUCAUCCAUGGCUUCCGGUGCCUCCACCACGUUGAAGAUUGCCUCUAUCGCCGCUUGCAUCCUGCUGGUUCUGCUGUCCAAUGGCCACCCUACAGUGGCGACCGUUGAUUGUACUGCGGCUUGCAAAGAGCCGUGCGAGAGCUUUUCUAAGGGAUUCUGCGCGGGUGGAGCCACCAGCGGUUGUGCGACUAAGGCAGCAGCUACAGCAUGCCGCAAUUCGGCGUUCUCGCAGUGUGCGAACAACUGCUACACAGUUUGCACCGCCGGGACCAUCGCGCCUUGCGCUUGAAGAUGCAUUUGUGUUCCUACUUCCACAUUAUUGUUACUGGUGAGUGUGUGCAAGCAGGCCUGCCGUCCACGGGAGGAGGCACGCAAGCCCGCAUGAUAAGCCACUGUCGUUUUUCCACUUUAUCAUUUACUUAUUGAAGGCAAUGUACGAUGCCUAGCUCCUGUGUGGUUGAGCAUGUCAUCUUGGAAUUUUGUCCAAAGUUUAACAUACCAUGUUGUAUUGUUGUGUAUGGGUAUCAAUAUAAUUUAUCAACUAUUUUUCGUUUACCAUAGACAUUUCUAUGUUUAUUUGCAAGGGUUAGGGAAAUUUGUCCUUGAUAGUGUACUAACCGCGUCUGCCAACUGAACAGAUCAACUUUCUCAACAGCCUAUCUCCUACUUGAAAAAAUAUUCGCUUUAGAAAUGGUUUGUUUCUUUUCUGUGUAGCUCUAUCACCCAUCACCGUGAGGGUUACAAAACUCGGCGCAAGGGUUCCAAGCUGUGGCGCCACAAACCACAUAAGCUGUGGCGCAAGGGUUCUAGCUGGCUAGUCACAAACAACUAUUUCAUCCCGGAUGUCUUCCAUGCCCAUGGAGCUGCCGCUUUCUUGAUCGAGUAAUCUAUGCCCAUGAAAGAGUUCGGUAUUUGUCUGAUCGAGGAAGACGAGGUAGCACAUUUAUGUGAAAGCAGUACUGGCGGACAUGAUGGUCGGUGGCCUAUUGAUUAUCUUCCAACUCCUUUAUGCCAUUAUCAGUACUACAGAAAUCAUUUGUAGGGGUGAAGUGUUUUUUUUUAGGGUGGACCAAAAGGUCUGCCACCCCCAGGGGCGGAGCUACAGUCAACCAUCGAUGAUUUGGUCGCGAGCUCUUAUAUCCUUCCCAGGAGAACUGCCCAUACGUUGCUACGGAUAAAAAUAAUGUAUAUAAUUACAUUAAUCAUGAUUCGUUAUUUCAAAUGUGUGACAUAUUAUUGAAUUUACGUAUCUUUCUAUGCAUUUUUCGAACAAAGAGAUAUUUUUAUAAUAAUUUUAUCAGAUUAACAUGAGACAUAAUCUUCUAUGGUAUAUUAUGUACUCUAGUAUGUAAAUCUUAUGUUUGUUUGUGUAGUCUUCUACGUUGCUCGCUUUUUAUAAUAAAAGUAGAGAGAGGUGUGCGCCUAUGAACAACAAAAACCCAAAAAUGUACACAAUAAUCAAUAAAUUAUAAUUAUUAUUUUUUCCUAGAAUAAAAAUAUGGACUCAUCGAGCCCAUGAAAAGCGCAAGGAGGUGGCCCGGCAGCCCCAUCCAUCCAUCCAUUGUUAUCCAUACUUGCUAAACAAAUGAAUUAAAAACAUAAUUUUAUCCACACAAGAGACGGAUUAAUUGUUUGGUACUGAACUUUCUUGGACGUUGCUGUUGCUGGAUUCGGCAUUAGGAAGGCGUCGCUCGGCCGUGCAGACGUGCCAUUGUGGCUUUGUGGAGGCACCCCUACGUUGUGUCGGAGCGGAGCUGCAGGCAGCGUAAGCGGCCGGGUAGCACGCCACAACAUGCUAGAGACAGCGCCGAGCCUUGAGCCUUCGACUGGGGCUGCUUAUAGCGCCAACACCGCUCUGUAUCUUGCUCAGUGGAUGGGCGGACGACGGCGAGCGGCGCCUAGGAGAACUGCAAAUGCUCCUGCACACAUGCCCCAUGGGCCGGAACUGCACACUAACCCCCGCGAACGAUGGUAGUAGGGCAACAAAGCUGGCCAUGGCGCUACUCGUUGAGCUUUCCGUGUGCGCGAACAGGCAUUUGAUAUGUUCCCUACAAAAUUAAAGGUUGUUUGAUUCAAUGGUCAAAUAGUGCGAGCAUGUUAAUUGAUGCGAGUGUAUUGUGGGAACUGCCAAGGAACUGCAGGGCAUCGAGCAAGCAGUGGUGUUGCUCGGAAGUACCAGCACUAACACGCUUUCCGAUGUGUCUCCAGCGGGGGUGGCAGCGUCUACCUGCUCGGCAGCAGUAGUGUCACCCUAUUCUGGGCAUCUCCCCACGCGUCUUGGCCAUCGUUACCUCUGGCAUCGUUAAGGUAUGGCUUCCUUUCAGCCUCGGCCGUUUCUUUGUCCAGUGACCGGUUAAAAGAUCAUUAUCUAAUCAACCAUUCACGUCACCCAUAGUGUAGGCAACAGGCCAUUCUAUUGCGAUCCGCUGUCGCCUAUCGCUUCCCUUCAGAAUUUGAAGUCAGAAAUUCUUUUGUUUCAAUUUUGCUACCUCCACUAGUUUUCUUAAAUCAGAAUCAUGUUGAAACCAGAAGAGCCUUGUUAGCUUGUUUGAUCUAUACUUCGUUGUAGCAAAUGUAAAAUGACAACUGGUUGUUUCAUAUUCGAUCUGCAAGUCUUCUUCUCAUUCACACGAUGGAUGGCCAUAGGCACAAAGAGAAUUGAAGUAGUAGACCAUAAUCACUAUAGUAAAAGCUUAAAAUCUCAAAAUAUGUCAUCAUUUAUUUUUCAUUAUGUUAUCCAUAGAACUAUAGUAUGAGUUAGAAUAUUGCAUGGACAUCAGAUCAGCUACAACAUUUCCUAGCUUCGCCCUUCGCCACCCCUGCAGCAGCUAGCCCAAUCCAGGAAAUGUAUUUCCCAGGUGGGGGUGAGCAGACCCUGGAAAUAAGCUGGGGACGGACCAGCACGUCAACCGUCUCUGAAAAUAGCCCAUUUCAGAGGUGGGCAACUCCAUGGUCCGUCCUAGCAGAUUGAAUUACAGCAGCAGACGACACGAAGCAUCACCCUGCUGCUCAACGAAAUUUUGUAUGGACAACGCGCAAAUGAAAAGGCAAGCGGAAAGCAUAAGGUCCAUUCUGCUCCGCACAUAUAUCUUAUCUCAACCACAGCUUUCCAUGUCAUCUCCUUAGAGAAACUCCGACAGAUUGAUUUUCCACAUUCCCCUUUAUCCUCUUAUAGGGCAUUCCCUUUCACGAUUUCUGAAUUUUGAAGACUAGUGGGGCAAGAAAUUUUGUAUAGUAACAAAGAUAAUCUCAGCCCCACUUGCUACACAUACAUGCACGGUAAAUAGAAAGGGUUAUUUUCUAUGUCAAAGGCAUGCUCAGCUUCAAAGUCGUUCUGUUGUUAGCAUCGUUGUGUUGUUUCUGAUAACGUGCAGGAGGAAGCGAAAACACAGAGUAGAAAGAGGAUGAGAAAUUAAAGAAGACAAUGAAGCUCACGUUCACGUCUACAUGAGGGAGCUCUCACACAAGCAAGUCCAUUCAUCCUCUGUCUCCAUGCUGUUGAUGAUGAUAUGUCACAUGUCCUUUGCCUUGACGUCGGCGGCAGGCCGGCAGCCCAAUGAACCCAUGACGAACAGCAUGAGCAUGACCAGCUAACUUCAUUGCUGAGUACAACAUGUGGUUAUCCUUGCUAUAACUAAUGUUGGUCAGAAGAAGAAGCUGCUAUAAAGUUGUUCUGAAGACGCUGAGUUCUAGGCGUACGCAAGCCCCGGUUGAUUGCCUGCGAAGUUUGGAACCUUCGUUUCCAGGAUUAAGCUGUAAAUCUCCGAUAGACUCUCUUUAUAUCUCUUUAUGUGAUACUGUUACUGUUAUUCACUGAUGAUGUGACUAUAUGUAUGAAACUUGAUCAUGUCAUACAUACAGUUAGCACUUGGUUUUGCUGUUCUAAAAUCAGAUGUGACACCUAUGAACCCAUGACGAACAGCAUGAGCGUAACCAGCUAACUUCAUUGCUGCUGCCUUUCGUAGAUGUUGGUGAACAUGACGUGUCUUUCAUCUCCACGAUGGCGACGGAUCCAAAGAUCGAAGAACAUGCAUCAACGCGAUCCGUAUGGCGUGUUUUCUGGUAUUUCCACCCCAUGAUGUAACGCCGACCGGGUUCCAUACGAGGCCUACGGCCACUCUGUUCACUUUCAUCAUGUGCUCCGAUGAGAGUUCAUCACCGUGAUAAAAGACGGAGACGAGGGCACACAGUCGUAGCUGCAAGUAAGGCCAACAGGCUCAAGGCCAUGGCUUUACAGCCAGCAGUCUUGCCUUGCAUGCACUCACGUACUAUUACCGGACUAGCAAUUGGUACUUUGACGCACUACAUGGACCCUUACAAAAUUAAAAAAAUGAACGUCAACAAGCAAAUGAAACUGCAUGAACUGAAGUAGGGAAAUGAAGACCACGUACAGUUCUUAUUGAAGCUGAAAUGUAUGUCAUAAAAGUAUUAUUGUUAGAUUGAAGUCAAUUUAAAUAUUUAAACGAGUAACGAGGGCUCGGAUUAGUAGAAGGUGUUAGUGAGGCCCUCCAACAGACCACUCAAUGAUUUUUAGAUCCAACUGUUUAUAUAGUAAGUUCGGAUAUUUAAUUAAUAAAUUGAAGUUGCCUUAAGAUAUGCAUAGUAAAUCACAAGACCAAAGUGGAAUAACCAUUAGACAACUAAUAAAACCAUAAUUAAGUUUUUCUCUACUUAAUUUUAGCAAUAUUGCUUAGGUUUUCUAUUUCGUCUAAAAAUAUCUUAAGCGGCUCAUAUGUCCGAAUUACCCACACAGUGAAUAAAUGUCAUUCCAGUUCAAGGAUUCAUGUGCAGUUAUCACACACUAGUGUGAACCCAUCAAGUGUGUGUCUUGCUUCCCUUUUCAAUCAACAAGCUACCUCCCUGAUUUGAAUAUAAUAAACUUAAAUGCUUCAGUUUCUAUGGUCCAUUGUUAUGUGAUGGACAUGAAAAAUGAAAAAUAUAGCCUACAAUGUUCAAAAUGCAUCUGAAGUACUAGGGUAUAAAAUAAGCUCACUGCCAUCCAAGUACAAGGGUUAACAACUAGAAAUAUAACCUUUAUUGCUAUCUGUAAAGAAAAUAUGCCUGUUGAAUUACAUGUCAGGAAAGGUGAAUGCACGGAUUGACGGCUAGUAUUAGCUAAUUUUGUUGUCUUUUUUGUUAAUAACUAGGUUUCCAAUGCCAAACUCUGCGUAAGGGUUCAGCAACUGGCUACAUAUUGGAAAGGAGUUACUGUUGGUGGCUAGCCCUCAUAAGAGAUAACUAUUUCAUCCCUGAUGCCUUCCAUGCCUAUGGAUGUACCGCGUGCUCGAGUAAGCUAUGCUUGCAGAUGGAUCUUAAACCUGAUGUCAAAUUGUGGAUAAUUGAAAGAGUUUGCUGUUUGUCUGCUUUAGGGAAGAUGGGUAGCACGUUUAUAUGCCAUUAAUUCUCAUGAAAGAGUGCAUAUACCAUGUUUGUCGCAGCAAGAUGAGGCUGUAGAGUAGUAGACGUGUAGAACAAUGGUACAGGUUGUAUGAAUAAUUUAUUGAAGGGAAUCAUAGACGCCACAGCCACUGAAGCUGUUGGGGCAUGAUUAGCCAAUGGUCUAAUUCCUGAUAUCUCCGUAUCCUAAUUUUCUGAAGCCUUACGGACUCUACCCUCCUCACUUCAUAUAUAUUAGUGUUUAUAAUAGCGGUUUUAUAAGAAGUGCUGAAGGUAUUGGUCCUGCUAUAUCUUGCUUCCACUACCGGAUUUGUGUACGAAAUAUUAAUUCUUGAGAUUUGUCAAUGAUUUUAGGACGCAAUGAUACCUUCAACUACCGGAUUGUAUAUAUAAGUUAGUCUUAGCCAGUUAUAUAUCAGAGGAGGAAGCACGCAUUAAAUAAUAAAUAACUCAUGUUGAUUCAAUUGGCAACCUGGCCUCUAAAAAGAAAAGGACUCUGUUCUCAAAAAAUGAAAAAAAGUAGCCUGCUAAUAACAAUGUCGACACUUUACAUCUGAGCAGCUAGCUCCGUGAUGCUUUAUCUGGCUAGUGAACUACCUACCUAUGUUAUUUAAACAUUUUUGCUGCCUAUAAAUUGGGCAUCAUUUCAGCGGACCACCACAGCACCUGAGCUUGCCAUCUUUUCCUGUUCUAUCUCACUCAUUUGUCCUGUAGCUACUAGCUAAGCCACCAUAUCAUCCAUGGCUUCCGGUGCCUCCACCACGUUGAAGAUUGCCUCUAUCGCCGCUUGCAUCCUGCUGGUUCUGCUGUCCAAUGGCCACCCUACAGUGGCGACCGUUGAUUGUACUGCGGCUUGCAAAGAGCCGUGCGAGAGCUUUUCUAAGGGAUUCUGCGCGGGUGGAGCCACCAGCGGUUGUGCGACUAAGGCAGCAGCUACAGCAUGCCGCAAUUCGGCGUUCUCGCAGUGUGCGAACAACUGCUACACAGUUUGCACCGCCGGGACCAUCGCGCCUUGCGCUUGAAGAUGCAUUUGUGUUCCUACUUCCACAUUAUUGUUACUGGUGAGUGUGUGCAAGCAGGCCUGCCGUCCACGGGAGGAGGCACGCAAGCCCGCAUGAUAAGCCACUGUCGUUUUUCCACUUUAUCAUUUACUUAUUGAAGGCAAUGUACGAUGCCUAGCUCCUGUGUGGUUGAGCAUGUCAUCUUGGAAUUUUGUCCAAAGUUUAACAUACCAUGUUGUAUUGUUGUGUAUGGGUAUCAAUAUAAUUUAUCAACUAUUUUUCGUUUACCAUAGACAUUUCUAUGUUUAUUUGCAAGGGUUAGGGAAAUUUGUCCUUGAUAGUGUACUAACCGCGUCUGCCAACUGAACAGAUCAACUUUCUCAACAGCCUAUCUCCUACUUGAAAAAAUAUUCGCUUUAGAAAUGGUUUGUUUCUUUUCUGUGUAGCUCUAUCACCCAUCACCGUGAGGGUUACAAAACUCGGCGCAAGGGUUCCAAGCUGUGGCGCCACAAACCACAUAAGCUGUGGCGCAAGGGUUCUAGCUGGCUAGUCACAAACAACUAUUUCAUCCCGGAUGUCUUCCAUGCCCAUGGAGCUGCCGCUUUCUUGAUCGAGUAAUCUAUGCCCAUGAAAGAGUUCGGUAUUUGUCUGAUCGAGGAAGACGAGGUAGCACAUUUAUGUGAAAGCAGUACUGGCGGACAUGAUGGUCGGUGGCCUAUUGAUUAUCUUCCAACUCCUUUAUGCCAUUAUCAGUACUACAGAAAUCAUUUGUAGGGGUGAAGUGUUUUUUUUUUAGGGUGGACCAAAAGGUCUGCCACCCCCAGGGGCGGAGCUACAGUCAACCAUCGAUGAUUUGGUCGCGAGCUCUUAUAUCCUUCCCAGGAGAACUGCCCAUACGUUGCUACGGAUAAAAAUAAUGUAUAUAAUUACAUUAAUCAUGAUUCGUUAUUUCAAAUGUGUGACAUAUUAUUGAAUUUACGUAUCUUUCUAUGCAUUUUUCGAACAAAGAGAUAUUUUUAUAAUAAUUUUAUCAGAUUAACAUGAGACAUAAUCUUCUAUGGUAUAUUAUGUACUCUAGUAUGUAAAUCUUAUGUUUGUUUGUGUAGUCUUCUACGUUGCUCGCUUUUUAUAAUAAAAGUAGAGAGAGGUGUGCGCCUAUGAACAACAAAAACCCAAAAAUGUACACAAUAAUCAAUAAAUUAUAAUUAUUAUUUUUUCCUAGAAUAAAAAUAUGGACUCAUCGAGCCCAUGAAAAGCGCAAGGAGGUGGCCCGGCAGCCCCAUCCAUCCAUCCAUUGUUAUCCAUACUUGCUAAACAAAUGAAUUAAAAACAUAAUUUUAUCCACACAAGAGACGGAUUAAUUGUUUGGUACUGAACUUUCUUGGACGUUGCUGUUGCUGGAUUCGGCAUUAGGAAGGCGUCGCUCGGCCGUGCAGACGUGCCAUUGUGGCUUUGUGGAGGCACCCCUACGUUGUGUCGGAGCGGAGCUGCAGGCAGCGUAAGCGGCCGGGUAGCACGCCACAACAUGCUAGAGACAGCGCCGAGCCUUGAGCCUUCGACUGGGGCUGCUUAUAGCGCCAACACCGCUCUGUAUCUUGCUCAGUGGAUGGGCGGACGACGGCGAGCGGCGCCUAGGAGAACUGCAAAUGCUCCUGCACACAUGCCCCAUGGGCCGGAACUGCACACUAACCCCCGCGAACGAUGGUAGUAGGGCAACAAAGCUGGCCAUGGCGCUACUCGUUGAGCUUUCCGUGUGCGCGAACAGGCAUUUGAUAUGUUCCCUACAAAAUUAAAGGUUGUUUGAUUCAAUGGUCAAAUAGUGCGAGCAUGUUAAUUGAUGCGAGUGUAUUGUGGGAACUGCCAAGGAACUGCAGGGCAUCGAGCAAGCAGUGGUGUUGCUCGGAAGUACCAGCACUAACACGCUUUCCGAUGUGUCUCCAGCGGGGGUGGCAGCGUCUACCUGCUCGGCAGCAGUAGUGUCACCCUAUUCUGGGCAUCUCCCCACGCGUCUUGGCCAUCGUUACCUCUGGCAUCGUUAAGGUAUGGCUUCCUUUCAGCCUCGGCCGUUUCUUUGUCCAGUGACCGGUUAAAAGAUCAUUAUCUAAUCAACCAUUCACGUCACCCAUAGUGUAGGCAACAGGCCAUUCUAUUGCGAUCCGCUGUCGCCUAUCGCUUCCCUUCAGAAUUUGAAGUCAGAAAUUCUUUUGUUUCAAUUUUGCUACCUCCACUAGUUUUCUUAAAUCAGAAUCAUGUUGAAACCAGAAGAGCCUUGUUAGCUUGUUUGAUCUAUACUUCGUUGUAGCAAAUGUAAAAUGACAACUGGUUGUUUCAUAUUCGAUCUGCAAGUCUUCUUCUCAUUCACACGAUGGAUGGCCAUAGGCACAAAGAGAAUUGAAGUAGUAGACCAUAAUCACUAUAGUAAAAGCUUAAAAUCUCAAAAUAUGUCAUCAUUUAUUUUUCAUUAUGUUAUCCAUAGAACUAUAGUAUGAGUUAGAAUAUUGCAUGGACAUCAGAUCAGCUACAACAUUUCCUAGCUUCGCCCUUCGCCACCCCUGCAGCAGCUAGCCCAAUCCAGGAAAUGUAUUUCCCAGGUGGGGGUGAGCAGACCCUGGAAAUAAGCUGGGGACGGACCAGCACGUCAACCGUCUCUGAAAAUAGCCCAUUUCAGAGGUGGGCAACUCCAUGGUCCGUCCUAGCAGAUUGAAUUACAGCAGCAGACGACACGAAGCAUCACCCUGCUGCUCAACGAAAUUUUGUAUGGACAACGCGCAAAUGAAAAGGCAAGCGGAAAGCAUAAGGUCCAUUCUGCUCCGCACAUAUAUCUUAUCUCAACCACAGCUUUCCAUGUCAUCUCCUUAGAGAAACUCCGACAGAUUGAUUUUCCACAUUCCCCUUUAUCCUCUUAUAGGGCAUUCCCUUUCACGAUUUCUGAAUUUUGAAGACUAGUGGGGCAAGAAAUUUUGUAUAGUAACAAAGAUAAUCUCAGCCCCACUUGCUACACAUACAUGCACGGUAAAUAGAAAGGGUUAUUUUCUAUGUCAAAGGCAUGCUCAGCUUCAAAGUCGUUCUGUUGUUAGCAUCGUUGUGUUGUUUCUGAUAACGUGCAGGAGGAAGCGAAAACACAGAGUAGAAAGAGGAUGAGAAAUUAAAGAAGACAAUGAAGCUCACGUUCACGUCUACAUGAGGGAGCUCUCACACAAGCAAGUCCAUUCAUCCUCUGUCUCCAUGCUGUUGAUGAUGACAUGUCACAUGUCCUUUGCCUUGACGUCGGCGGCAGGCCGGCAGCCCAAUGAACCCAUGACGAACAGCAUGAGCAUGACCAGCUAACUUCAUUGCUGAGUACAACAUGUGGUUAUCCUUGCUAUAACUAAUGUUGGUCAGAAGAAGAAGCUGCUAUAAAGUUGUUCUGAAGACGCUGAGUUCUAGGCGUACGCAAGCCCCGGUUGAUUGCCUGCGAAGUUUGGAACCUUCGUUUCCAGGAUUAAGCUGUAAAUCUCCGAUAGACUCUCUUUAUAUCUCUUUAUGUGAUACUGUUACUGUUAUUCACUGAUGAUGUGACUAUAUGUAUGAAACUUGAUCAUGUCAUACAUACAGUUAGCACUUGGUUUUGCUGUUCUAAAAUCAGAUGUGACACCUAUGAACCCAUGACGAACAGCAUGAGCGUAACCAGCUAACUUCAUUGCUGCUGCCUUUCGUAGAUGUUGGUGAACAUGACGUGUCUUUCAUCUCCACGAUGGCGACGGAUCCAAAGAUCGAAGAACAUGCAUCAACGCGAUCCGUAUGGCGUGUUUUCUGGUAUUUCCACCCCAUGAUGUAACGCCGACCGGGUUCCAUACGAGGCCUACGGCCACUCUGUUCACUUUCAUCAUGUGCUCCGAUGAGAGUUCAUCACCGUGAUAAAAGACGGAGACGAGGGCACACAGUCGUAGCUGCAAGUAAGGCCAACAGGCUCAAGGCCAUGGCUUUACAGCCAGCAGUCUUGCCUUGCAUGCACUCACGGACUAUUACCGGACUAGCAAUUGGUACUUUGACGCACUACAUGGACCCUUACAAAAUUAAAAAAAUGAACGUCAACAAGCAAAUGAAACUGCAUGAACUGAAGUAGGGAAAUGAAGACCACGUACAGUUCUUAUUGAAGCUGAAAUGUAUGUCAUAAAAGUAUUAUUGUUAGAUUGAAGUCAAUUUAAAUAUUUAAACGAGUAACGAGGGCUCGGAUUAGUAGAAGGUGUUAGUGAGGCCCUCCAACAGACCACUCAAUGAUUUUUAGAUCCAACUGUUUAUAUAGUAAGUUCGGAUAUUUAAUUAAUAAAUUGAAGUUGCCUUAAGAUAUGCAUAGUAAAUCACAAGACCAAAGUGGAAUAACCAUUAGACAACUAAUAAAACCAUAAUUAAGUUUUUCUCUACUUAAUUUUAGCAAUAUUGCUUAGGUUUUCUAUUUCGUCUAAAAAUAUCUUAAGCGGCUCAUAUGUCCGAAUUACCCACACAGUGAAUAAAUGUCAUUCCAGUUCAAGGAUUCAUGUGCAGUUAUCACACACUAGUGUGAACCCAUCAAGUGUGUGUCUUGCUUCCCUUUUCAAUCAACAAGCUACCUCCCUGAUUUGAAUAUAAUAAACUUAAAUGCUUCAGUUUCUAUGGUCCAUUGUUAUGUGAUGGACAUGAAAAAUGAAAAAUAUAGCCUACAAUGUUCAAAAUGCAUCUGAAGUACUAGGGUAUAAAAUAAGCUCACUGCCAUCCAAGUACAAGGGUUAACAACUAGAAAUAUAACCUUUAUUGCUAUCUGUAAAGAAAAUAUGCCUGUUGAAUUACAUGUCAGGAAAGGUGAAUGCACGGAUUGACGGCUAGUAUUAGCUAAUUUUGUUGUCUUUUUUGUUAAUAACUAGGUUUCCAAUGCCAAACUCUGCGUAAGGGUUCAGCAACUGGCUACAUAUUGGAAAGGAGUUACUGUUGGUGGCUAGCCCUCAUAAGAGAUAACUAUUUCAUCCCUGAUGCCUUCCAUGCCUAUGGAUGUACCGCGUGCUCGAGUAAGUUAUGCUUGCAGAUGGAUCUUAAACCUGAUGUCAAAUUGUGGAUAAUUGAAAGAGUUUGCUGUUUGUCUGCUUUAGGGAAGAUGGGUAGCACGUUUAUAUGCCAUUAAUUCUCAUGAAAGAGUGCAUAUACCAUGUUUGUCGCAGCAAGAUGAGGCUGUAGAGUAGUAGACGUGUAGAACAAUGGUACAGGUUGUAUGAAUAAUUUAUUGAAGGGAAUCAUAGACGCCACAGCCACUGAAGCUGUUGGGGCAUGAUUAGCCAAUGGUCUAAUUCCUGAUAUCUCCGUAUCCUAAUUUUCUGAAGCCUUACGGACUCUACCCUCCUCACUUCAUAUAUAUUAGUGUUUAUAAUAGCGGUUUUAUAAGAAGUGCUGAAGGUAUUGGUCCUGCUAUAUCUUGCUUCCACUACCGGAUUUGUGUACGAAAUAUUAAUUCUUGAGAUUUGUCAAUGAUUUUAGGACGCAAUGAUACCUUCAACUACCGGAUUGUAUAUAUAAGUUAGUCUUAGCCAGUUAUAUAUCAGAGGAGGAAGCACGCAUUAAAUAAUAAAUAACUCAUGUUGAUUCAAUUGGCAACCUGGCCUCUAAAAAGAAAAGGACUCUGUUCUCAAAAAAUGAAAAAAAGUAGCCUGCUAAUAACAAUGUCGACACUUUACAUCUGAGCAGCUAGCUCCGUGAUGCUUUAUCUGGCUAGUGAACUACCUACCUAUGUUAUUUAAACAUUUUUGCUGCCUAUAAAUUGGGCAUCAUUUCAGCGGACCACCACAGCACCUGAGCUUGCCAUCUUUUCCUGUUCUAUCUCACUCAUUUGUCCUGUAGCUACUAGCUAAGCCACCAUAUCAUCCAUGGCUUCCGGUGCCUCCACCACGUUGAAGAUUGCCUCUAUCGCCGCUUGCAUCCUGCUGGUUCUGCUGUCCAAUGGCCACCCUACAGUGGCGACCGUUGAUUGUACUGCGGCUUGCAAAGAGCCGUGCGAGAGCUUUUCUAAGGGAUUCUGCGCGGGUGGAGCCACCAGCGGUUGUGCGACUAAGGCAGCAGCUACAGCAUGCCGCAAUUCGGCGUUCUCGCAGUGUGCGAACAACUGCUACACAGUUUGCACCGCCGGGACCAUCGCGCCUUGCGCUUGAAGAUGCAUUUGUGUUCCUACUUCCACAUUAUUGUUACUGGUGAGUGUGUGCAAGCAGGCCUGCCGUCCACGGGAGGAGGCACGCAAGCACGCAUGAUAAGCCACUGUCGUUUUUCCACUUUAUCAUUUACUUAUUGAAGGCAAUGUACGAUGCCUAGCUCCUGUGUGGUUGAGCAUGUCGUCUUGGAAUUUUGUCCAAAGUUUAACAUACCAUGUUGUAUUGUUGUGUAUGCGUAUCAAUAUAAUUUAUCAACUAUUUUUCGUUUACCAUAGACAUUUCUAGUUUAUUUGCAAGGGUUAGGGAAAUUUGUCCUUGAUAGUGUAUUAACCGCAUCUGCCAACUGAACAGAUCAACUUUCUCAACAGCCUAUCUCCUACUUGAAAAAUAUUCGC
rnacentral:lncRNA from 1 species